GACGAACGCUGGCGGCGUGCUUAACUCAUGCAAGUCGAACGGUAAGGCCCUUCGGGGUACACGAGUGGCGAACGGGUGAGUAACACGUGGGUGAUCUGCCCUGCACUUCGGGAUAAGCCUGGGAAACUGGGUCUAAUACCGGAUAGGACUCCGGACUGCAUGGUCUGGGGUGGAAAGCUUUUGCGGUGUGGGAUGGGCCCGCGGCCUAUCAGCUUGUUGGUGGGGUGAUGGCCUACCAAGGCGACGACGGGUAGCCGGCCUGAGAGGGCGACCGGCCACACUGGGACUGAGACACGGCCCAGACUCCUACGGGAGGCAGCAGGGGGGAAUAUUGCGCAAUGGGCGAAAGCCUGACGCAGCAACGCCGCGUGAGGGAUGACGGCCUUCGGGUUGUAAACCUCUUUCAGCAGGGAAGAAGCGAAAGUGACGGUACCUGCAGAAGAAGCACCGGCUAACUACGUGCCAGCCGCCGCAGUAA
rnacentral:rRNA from 1 species